CCUUCCUUCCACCAUGAGAAAAAGGACAUGUUUGCUUCUCCUUCUGCCAUGAUUCAUAGUGUCCAGAAUGAAUCUAAGUAGAAGAAGGGAAGAAGAGAAGGACACAAGAAGGAAGACACGGAAAAAUGUCGACCUCAAAGAACUAGAGGAACAACACUGGAGUUAUAGGAAACACCCAGAAUUAGAAUCAGAGCAAUUUGAUUGGAUUUACAACAGCUGAUUCUAGAUACAAGAACUUUACCAAGCCAUUUACAAUUUUUGUGCUUCAAUUUCAUCAUUUUAAAACAGAAAGAAAGAAUUUACCUUAUACACUUGUUGCUUCGAUUAUGAAAGAAUUAUCUAUACAAAAAGUACAAUAAAAAAGAAUAUAAAUGUAAGAAUGUAGAGGGUCACAAACAUAGUUUGAAAUAUCCAUGCUUUUCAUUUUGGAGUGAAAAAAGGAAAAAUACUAACUGUGUAAAAUUAAAUUCAUUACUAUAUCAAAGUCAAGACUGCCUACCAAGUCAUUUGACAGUAAAAAUGUUUUGUUUAUUCCAUAAACUUUAUGAAAAAACUAGUUCAUUGCCAAAGGGACGUUACUUACAGCAAAA
rnacentral:lncRNA from 1 species